UACGGAGGGUGCAAGCGUUAUCCGGAUUCACUGGGUUUAAAGGGCGCGUAGGCGGGCUUGUAAGUCAGUGGUGAAAUCUCUGGGCUUAACCCGGAAACUGCCAUUGAUACUAUAGGUCUUGAAUUCUCUGGAGGUAAGCGGAAUAUGUCAUGUAGCGGUGAAAUGCUUAGAUAUGACAUAGAACACCCGUUGCGAAGGCAGCUUACUACGGAGACAUUGACACUGAGGCUCGAAAGCGUGGGGAUCAAACAGG
rnacentral:rRNA from 1 species